AGUACAUGGUGAGGACACUUUCUAAGCCUCUCCUUGAAUCUCUCUCAAGCUUCUCUUAGUGUUUCAUCUUCAAAUUUAUGAAAAGCAACAAUCUCAUUUCUGAACC